rnacentral:rRNA from 1 species
GACGAACGCUGGCGGCGUGCUUAACACAUGCAAGUCGAACGGGAUUUAGUAAACAGAAGCCUCGGUGGAAGAUAACUAAUGAGAGUGGCGAACGGGUGAGUAACGCGUGAGCAACCUGCCUAUGACAGUGGGAUAGCCUCGGGAAACCGGGAUUAAUACCGCAUAAAAUCGUAGAAACACAUGUUUUAACGGUCAAAGAUUUAUCGGUCAUAGAUGGGCUCGCGUCUGAUUAGCUAGUUGGUGAGAUAACAGCCCACCAAGGCGACGAUCAGUAGCCGGUCUGAGAGGAUGAACGGCCACAUUGGAACUGAGACACGGUCCAAACUCCUACGGGAGGCAGCAGUGGGGAAUAUUGCACAAUGGGGGAAACCCUGAUGCAGCGACGCCGCGUGAACGAAGAAGGUAUUCGUAUCGUAAAGUUCUGUCCUAUGGGAAGAUAAUGACAGUACCAUAGAAGAAAGCUCCGGCUAAAUACGUG